GCGUGUGUGAAGAAGGUUUUCGGAUUGUAAAGCACUUUCGGCGGGGACGAUGAUGACGGUACCCGCAGAAGAAGCCCCGGCUAACUUCGUGCCAGCAGCCGCGGUAAUACGAAGGGGGCUAGCGUUGCUCGGAAUGACUGGGCGUAAAGGGCGCGUAGGCGGAAGUGACAGUCAGACGUGAAAUUCCUGGGCUCAACCUGGGGACUGCGUUUGAGACGUUGCAUCUAGAGUGAGGAAGAGGGUUGUGGAAUUCCCAGUGUAGAGGUGAAAUUCGU
rnacentral:rRNA from 1 species